rnacentral:rRNA from 1 species
AAACUAACAAGGAUUCCCCUAGUAACGGCGAGUGAACAGGGAAGAGCUCAAAUUUGUAAUCUGGCGUCCCUUGGGCGUCCGAGUUGUAAUCUAUAGAAGCGUUUUCCGUGCUGGACCAUGUCCAAGUCCCUUGGAACAGGGUAUCAAAGAGGGUGACAAUCCCGUGCUUGACAUGACGACCAGUGCUCUGUGAUACGCUCUCUACGAGUCGAGUUGUUUGGGAAUGCAGCUCAAAAUGGGUGGUGAGUUCCAUCUAAAGCUAAAUAUUGGCGAGAGACCGAUAGCGAACAAGUACCGUGAGGGAAAGAUGAAAAGCACUUUGGAAAGAGAGUUAAACAGUACGUGAAAUUGUUGAAAGGGAAACGAUUGAAGUCAGUCGUGUCCAAGGGGUUCAGCCGGUCAUGCCGGUGUAUUCCCCUCGGAUGGGUCAACGUCAGUUUGGACCGGUGGAAAAGGGCGGUUGGAAUGUGGCAGCUCCGGCUGUGUUAUAGCCUUCCGUCGCACACGCCGGUCUAGACUGAGGAAUGCAGCUCGCCUUUAUGGCUGGGGUUCUCCCACAUUCGAGCUUAGGAUGUUGACAUAAUGGCUUUAAACGAC